ACUCAACACUAACAAAUUAAAAUGAGUAAAUCUUUGCAUCUAAAGCACGCUGCUCACGCAGAUCCUUGAACCGCAAGCUAGCUCAAAACUUGUUUACCUUAGAGUUU
rnacentral:sRNA from 3 species